GAUGAAGAACGUAGCGAAAUGCGAUAAGUAGUGUGAAUUGCAGAAUUCAGUGAAUCAUCGAAUCUUUGAACGCACAUUGCGCCCCUUGGUAUUCCAUGGGGCAUGCCUGUUCGAGCGUCAUUUGUACCUUCAAGCUCUGCUUGGUGUUGGGUGUUUGUCUCGCCUCUGCGUGUAGACUCGCCUCAAAACAAUUGGCAGCCGGCGUAUUGAUUUCGGAGCGCAGUACAUCUCGCGCUUUGCACUCAUAACGACGAUGUCCAAAAGUACAUUUUUACACUCUUGACCUCGGAUCAGGUAGGGAUACCCGCUGAACUUAAGCAUAUCAAUAAGCGGAGGA
rnacentral:misc_RNA from 1 species